AUGGCAGCAUCACAUCUCCUCCUCCUCCUGCUGCUGCUGGCCCCGGUCGCGGACUCCGCGGCCACCCGCGUCUUCUCCGUCACCGACUACGGCGCGGCCGGCGACGGGUCCAGUUACGACACGGCGGCCAUCCAGGCCGCCGUCAACGCCUGCGGGGAGGCGGGGGGCGGCCGCGUGCUCCUCCCGGCGCCCGGGGACUACCUGACGGCGACCGUGCACCUCCGCUCGCGCGUGGUGCUCGAGGUGGCCCCCGGCGCGCGGCUGCUGGGCGGGACCAGGCAGCGCGACUACCCGGCCGAGCGGAGGCGGUGGUACGUCGUGCUGGCCGAGAACACCACCGGAGCGGGCGUCACCGGCGGCGGCGAGAUCAACGGCCAGGGCGGCGCCUUCGUGGUCAGGCCCAGCGACCAGAAGAACGUCAUGGUGAGCUGGAACGCCACGGGGCACUGCCGGGGCGACGAGUGCCGCCCCCGGCUCGUCGGCUUCGUCGACUCCGAGGACGUCACGGUCCACGACAUCACCCUGAACCAGCCGGCCUACUGGUGCCUGCAUCUUGUGAGGUGUGAUCACUCGGUGAUACGCAACGUCUCCAUAUACGGGGAUUUCGACACCCCUAACAACGACGGGAUCGACAUAGAGGGCUCAAACAACACGAUCAUCACCGGCUGCAGCAUAGACACCGGAGACGACGCGAUCUGCCCCAAGUCUCUCACGGGCCCUGUUCACAACUUGACUGUGACAAACUGCCGGAUCCGCACCAAAUCUAGUGCUAUCAAAUUUGGAAGUGCGAGCUCCUUCAACUUCGAGAGGCUGCUCUUUGACAACAUAACCAUAGUCGAUUCGCAUCGAGGACUUGGAAUGCAGAUCCGUGAUGGAGGGAACGUCAGUAAUGUGGUGUUUUCAAACAUCAAAAUGCGCACCAGGUACUACCAUCCUUCAUGGUGGGGGAGAGCUGAACCGAUCUACAUCACCACCUGUCCAAGGUACCCUGGUUCCAAAGAAGGCACCAUUUCAGAUGUUUUCUUCAUCAACAUCUCAUCGGUAUCGGAAAAUGGUGUUUUCCUGGCCGGGUCGAGGCACAGCCUGCUUCGCAACUUGAAGUUCAAGAACGUUGAUUUGACCUACAGGAGAUGGACAAACUACACCGGGGGCCUGUAUGACUACAGGCCCGGAUGCCAGGAGCUGGUAAAGCACAAGACUGGUGGUAUGAUGCUGGAGCAAAUCUCCGGCUUGGAGAUCGAUAAUGUCAGGAUGAGAUGGUCGAGAGGAGAGCUCAAAGGGUGGGAUGUUAAUCCACUCCUCUUCCGGCCAUCAACUAUUGACAGGCUGUCAUUCCAUGAUUGGCAGUCGCUGAAUGUUCAAUAG
rnacentral:rRNA from 1 species